rnacentral:lncRNA from 14 species
CCCACAGCGCCCCCUGGUGACACCUCCGCGACACCGCCCUGCCCUGUAUGAGGUGACCGGGCUCCCCUCCUCCCGCCGUCCUCACAGGCCCCGUCCUGCUGCCAGGGGCGAGCCCGGCCCGAGGCGUGCGGGAAGGGUGCUUAUCUCACCCGCUCCGUGCUGGAGCGGCCUGUACGGCGGGGGGAACCGCGGCCCGCUUCAUCUGCCGGUGAUGGGGGCCGCAUCUCCUAUUUGUGUGCUCUGCGCAUGGGGAAGAAGCCUCGAGAAUGUGAAAGGCAACUCAAGACUCUUCAUGUAGCUAAAAAGUGUGCCUCUGCUUGUGUGACCUCUGCAUCUAACUGGAGGAUAAAUUCCUACCUCUGCUGGGUUCUCACAUAAUCCUGAUCCUUGACACUGGGCUGCAAAGGAGUGGUCUCUUCCUGCCACCCUGCUUCAGGCAGCCUGCCCUGUGCAGGAGCUGCCACCCAUGAUGCUGCCUUGCAGAGAAGAACCAGGGGAACAUGUUUCAUUCUGAGAUAUUCCCAGUUUGCUGACUACACAGCCCUG